GUUCUCGUUAGAUCACCGAAGUCAAGCAUCAUUGGGAGCGGUCAGUACUUGGGUGGGUGACCACCUGGGAACACUGCGUGCCGUU